UCUGCACCUGCACUUCGGGAUAAGCUUGGGAAACUGGGUCUAAUACCGGAUAGGAACCAUCUUUAGUGUGGUGGUUGGAAAGUUUUUUCGGUGUAGGAUGAGCUCGCGGCCUAUCAGCUUGUUGGUGGGGUAAUGGCCUACCAAGGCGGCGACGGGUAGCCAGCCCGAGAGGGUGUACGGCCACAUUGGGACUGAGAUACGGCCCAG
rnacentral:rRNA from 1 species